rnacentral:rRNA from 1 species
CAGUAGCCGCGGGAAUACGUAGGUGGCAAGCGUUGUCCGGAAUUAUUGGGCGUAAAGCGCGCGCAGGCGGAUCAGUCAGUCUGUCUUAAAAGUUCGGGGCUUAACCCCGUGAGGGGAUGGAAACUGCUGAUCUAGAGUAUCGGAGAGGAAAGUGGAAUUCCUAGUGUAGCGGUGAAAUGCGUUGAGAUCGGAAAGAACACCAACGGCGAAAGCACUCUGCUGGGCCGACACUGACACUGAGAGACGAAAGCUAGGGGAGCAAAUGGGAUUAGAUACCCCGGUAGUCCCUGUCUCUUAUACC